rnacentral:tRNA from 1 species
GCGCUUGUAGCUUAGUGGAUAGAGUGUUUGUUUCCUAAGUUGAUGUUCGUAGGUUCGACCCCUACCUGGUGCG